rnacentral:rRNA from 1 species
AUUGACCGCUGGCGGCCGGCCUAACACAUGCAAGUCGAACGAGUGGCGGACGGGUGUGUAAUGUCUGGGAAACUGCCUGCUGGAGGGGGAUAACUACUGGAAACGGUAGCUAAUACCGCAUACCAUCGGAUGUGCCCCGAUGGGAUUAGCUAGUCGGUGGGGUAAAGUCGCACCUAGGCGACUAUCCCUAGCUGGUCUGAGAGGAUGACCGGGGACACUGGAACUGAGACACGGGCCAGACUCAGACGGGAGGCAGGAGUGGGGAAUAGUGCACAAGGGGCGCAAGCCUGAUACAGCCAUGCCGCGUGUAUGAAGAAGGCCUUCGGGUUGUAAAGUACUUGCAGCGGGGAGGCGUUAACCGGAGAAGAAGCAAGGGCGAACUCCGUGCCAGCAGCCGCGGUAAUAC